GCCGCAGCCAGGAGCCAGGCCGGCUCUGUGGAGGGAGGCCCUGCCUCGGCACCAUGCCGUCCUGUCCUGCCUUUGUCCUUGUCCUUAGGGCCAGCCUGAUACCCUGGAGACUCCUCGUGGAGACCCGAGUCUCGGCACCACGCGGGGAGGUCUUCUCACCACGCGGGGAGGUCUCAUCUGGAGAAAAUGCAUUUUUGAGGACGUGCACGUGACACAAAGUUCGGAAAAUGAAACUGGCGCCUGCCUGGUUUUUCUCAGUACAGACAGCAUCUUGCUCCGCUCAGCGGGACCAGCGGGGAGCUUUGCCACAGGGGGGAUGUUCGGGUCCCUGGAGUUUGCACCCAGCUGUGGCCAAUGCCGUGAACGGGUCUCACUUGCUCCCAUCUUCAUCCCGGCGUGGACGAGGCCUGACGGGAAGGCGGCUGCUGAUCAUCUGGGAAGACCCAGCAAGGUUGCCCUUUCUGGAAACAUCUUGUCGGAACAAGAAAGAACCCCAGAUGGCAUCGGCCCUGCUUGCUGAUGUUACGGAGUCGAGGAGAGAGAAAAAGCAACAAUUGUCUCCGAGCAAAGACAAUGGACCUUUUAUAUGAAAUAUUUAUUUUCAGGGCCGACCGGUGUCCCGGUGGCUCGGCAUCGCAGGCCCUGAGAACUCAGGGACGAGAUGUACAGAAAAGGAAAAAAAAAAGAGUCCCCUGACCUGUGAUUCUUGGGGAAUUUCAGUGGGAAUGCCUGGCUUUCUUUAUUGAGUGGAGUUUAAACUUUCACAAGUUUAUUUUCUCUCCCUCUGUGAUUUCUUCUGAAUGGCCGCUUGCAGGGGCAUGUUGGCACACAGCGGAAAGGUAGCCAGGUUUUGGACCGUGGGCUGG